UACGUAUGGAGCAAGCGUUAUCCGGAUUUACUGGGUGUAAAGGGAGCGCAGGCGGUCUGGCAAGUCUGAUGUGAAAGGCCGGGGCUCAACCCCGGGACUGCAUUGGAAACUGUCAGACUGGAGUGUCGGAGAGGUAAGCGGAAUUCCUAGUGUAGCGGUGAAAUGCGUAGAUAUUAGGAGGAACACCAGUGGCGAAAGCGGCUCUCUGGCCUGUAACUGACACUGAGGCUCGAAAGCGUGGGGAGCAAACAGG
rnacentral:rRNA from 1 species